UGGGGAAUAUUGGACAAUGGGGGCAACCCUGAUCCAGCCAUGCCGCGUGAGUGAUGAAGGCCUUAGGGUUGUAAAGCUCUUUCGCACGCGACGAUGAUGACGGUAGCGGGAGAAGAAGCCCCGGCUAACUUCGUGCCAGCAGCCGCGGUAAUACGUAGGUGGCAAGCGUUGUCCGGAAUUACUGGGUGUAAAGGGAGCGUAGGCGGGUAGACAAGUCGAAUGUGAAAUCUAUGGGCUCAACCCAUAGCUGCGUUCGAAACUGUAUAUCUUGAGUGAAGUAGAGGCAGGCGGAAUUCCUAGUGUAGCGGUGAAAUGCGUAAAUAUUCGGAAGAACACCGGUGGCGAAGGCGGCUACCUGGCCAUGUAUUGACGCUCAGGUGCGAAAGCGUGGGGAGCAAACA
rnacentral:rRNA from 1 species